CUCCCUUGCCCUGCUGACCAAGCUGUUUUUAUGUCCAGCUUGCCAUCUACCAGUACUCACAGGUGCUCCACACCUUCCAAAUAACACAGGACAGUUUGCUCAGGAUGAUCUCCAUGUACUCCAGCAUCAGCCACAUGAGAGCCAAGUAUCCCAUCAGGCCAUCUGAGUUCCUCCUAUAAUCAACUGAGAAAAAGAGUGCUGAAACCUGAUGAAGAGGCAAUGGUGUUUCAGAACGUGCUACUCCAUUCACUGCUGCCUGCUUAAAAUGAGGAAGGUGGAGGAGUAAGAAGAAAAGACUCCUUCAAAUCCAUAGAGAAGCAUGGGUGCCUGUAAGAGCUGCCGAAAGAAGUAAAACCACUUCAGCUUGUUGAUCUAUUUCUGUGCUGCAAUUCAUGCUGCCAUUCAUGAAGUGCCAGAAAGCUAUUGUAAACCGUUCUAUAAACCCACACUGUAGUCUUGAGGGGUUCCAGACCAUGGAUCUUGCCACCACUGGUGUAUUGGUGAUAGGAUAAUAGCAGGUUUACCAAAACAGAAAAGAAGCUAGAUGAAGGAUAACUCAGGAGAAGAACACGUGCUGUGAGCAGCAGAAGAACAGGCAGGACAGUGGUAUCAUGGAAAGAUGCUGAAGACAGGAUGCAUCUCAGCUAACAUUAAACAUUUAGUCAUCUAGGCUGUCUGUGUGGUCAGAAGAGUGUGGCACUCUGAAGGCAUGAUUCAUGACCUAUUUUUGGCACUAACCUACCUGGGAUGAAUUAAAUUACCCUUCACAAAUGCAAGUUCCUCCUACUGAUUCUGAAGGAAACUUGGGACCUGUAGCACGGGUACAAACAUCUGUAUUUUAGAUGUGUGAAGGGAAGUGAGGCAAAUCCUCCUUUGCACGCAGGGAGAAGGAAAGCAUUGCCACAAGAUGUCCUCUGAACCUGAGUCAGCAUCCAGUCACCAUCCACUCUUGUCUCUGGGAGAGGCAAGGAAGGAGGAAGACAGUGGACUGCCUGUUGGUGGAGAAGAUACUGAAGAAGCACCAAAAAGGACUGAUGGGGAAUCCAUGAUGGGCCAGGUAGUGCCAAGAUGAUGUACUGGGAUGGUGAUACUGAAGUUCAUAGUGUUUCUGGAUGAGGUGACGUGAACAGGUCAGGACAGAGCAUGGUGGAGGCAUGGUGGAGAAAAAGUCUGAAAUAUUACAGAGAAUGACAGUAUGGUAAUAUUUAUCCAUGGCCAAUGUAUGCAAGAUCAGUGAGCAUGUGGAAUAAAGUAUGUUUUUUGGUUUAGAUUCUGAAAAACAUCAGGAAGAGAGUAUUAUUGGAAACCAAGAAAAAGAAGUGAGGGUGAAAAGGCCAAGGAGGUCAAGUUAUGUUUCAUCCCUCAUCAAGAGCUUCUGAUGCCUGAUCAGAUCUUCUUGUGUGCUAAUUACAAAUCAACACGGUGCUCUAUUAGAUAUGCUUCUUUUCACUGAGCAGACCAACCGCUUCAGAGACCAGGCAGACUCAUGUCUGUGUAGUGGCAACUUCCACUUGUAACAACAGCAGUGGCUUUGGCACUGCUAUCUGAGAUUUCAUGGGAGAAUUUAAUUAAAAAAAU
ensembl:lncRNA